rnacentral:rRNA from 1 species
GACGAACGUUGGCGGCGUGCUUAAUACAUGCCAGUCAACUGAAGCAGUGGUAGCAAUAUCGCUGUGGAGGUGGCGCACGGGUGAGUAACACGUAGGUAAUCUGCCUUCAGGUCUGGCAUAACUCCGGGAAACCGGGGCUAAUAGCAGAUGAUGCAGCGGCUCGACAUCGAGACAGUUGUUAAAGCUAUGGCGCCUGAAGAUGAGCCUGCGUCUGAUUAGCUAGUUGGCUGGGUAACGGCCCACCAAGGCAACGAUCAGUAGCUGGUCUGAGAGGAUGAUCAGCCACACUGGAACUGAGACACGGUCCAGACUCCUACGGGAGGCAGCAGUAAGGAAUAUUGCUCAAUGGGAGAAAUCCUGAAGCAGCAACGCCGCGUGAGGGACGAAGGGCUUUUGCUUGUAAACCUCUGUAGUGAGAGAAAAAAAUCCCAAUCUUUGGGACAUGAUGGUAUCUCAAAAGUAAGCCCCGGCUAACUACGUG